rnacentral:misc_RNA from 1 species
GAUGAAGAACGCAGUGAAAUGCGAUAAGUAAUGUGAAUUGCAGAAUUCAGUGAAUCAUCGAAUCUUUGAACGCACAUUGCGCCCGCCAGUAUUCUGGCGGGCAUGCCUGUCCGAGCGUCAUUUCAACCCUCGAACCCCUCCGGGGGGUCGGCGUUGGGGACCUCGGGAGCCCCUAAGACGGGAUCCCGGCCCCGAAAUACAGUGGCGGUCUCGCCGCAGCCUCUCCUGCGCAGUAGUUUGCACAACUCGCACCGGGAGCGCGGCGCGUCCACGUCCGUAAAACACCCAACUUCUGAAAUGUUGACCUCGGAUCAGGUAGGAAUACCCGCUGAACUUAAGCAUAUCAAUAAGCGAGGA